AAAGCGCGAACCAAAGGACGCAUUUGUCCCCGCCUCUUCAGCCUAGCAACGGGACUGUUUUAUAUUUCGUCCGGAUUUGUAAGCAGAAUAAUGGCAUGGGCGUAACCGAGCAAAUCCCUUGGGUGGAUCCAAUAAUCCUCUCCGCUUUGACUGUGUUCUUCAGCUCCCUCACCUUCAUCUGUCCGUCACGAUCUACGAUCAAUCCUGGAUCCUAACAUAUGGCGGAACUUCUUGCAUUCACGUCCUCUGUAUCUAAAGCACGAGAUAUUAAAAAGCCAAUGGGAGUGAUCUUUGAGAGCUCAGUUUGGGAACCGAAUCCAUUCUUGUUCAUCUUCCUUUUCUUCUGUUGCUGCUUCUCAAAUCUCAAUCUUCCCUCUUCCUUGUGCCUCGAUCUUCAACAGACCUUCAACAAUAUUCGACCGUGAAAUUUCUUCCUUUCCACGGAAACUUCAUCUUUCUUUACUCUCUUGCUUCAGUGGUGGAAGAUCUGUGGUCAGCAUUGGGAGAGUUUGAGUUAGUUUCUCUAAUGGAAUCCGAAGGGAGCUAAUGGUCAUGUCUCUUUGUUAGGGAUAUGCAUCGGCCGCCUUAGCAGGCCCUUUCCUUGGCGUGCUCGCGGAUUUAAUGCAAGUAUCUAGUUGAAGUCGCUGAUGAUCACCUAAAAUAUUUCUUUGUAAUCCAGCGCUUAAUAAUACAAGUUCCAAUUUCUGCAUGCAUAUUUGUAUUGCAGUAAUGCUGUAUUAUGAUUUGUUUUGCCGUGAAUGUGAUUUUCUUCUUUAGCGCGCUUCUUUGCAGUUAGCAAUAUAUAUUGAAGUAUUUUCGGUUGUAUUUCAGUAGACAUUAAUUACGAUGAUACUAAAAGAGAACAAACUUGCAUCAGUCUUUGCAUGGCCAAUUAUUAGGAAUUAGAAUGGUUAUAUAGUUGGAACUAUAUAUUUUGUGGUGUCUAGCUCUUAUUCCAGUGGACUGUUUUACUUUUUGAUGUCUCCACCGAUUCGGUCAAGAUAUCAUCCUGCAUGUCAUUUGAAUUUUCAAGCAUGUCUCCCUCCCUAUGUUAGACAUGAACCCUCCUAAUUAUUGUAUCUUCAAGACAGGUACAUGUUUUUUUCAUUUUUCUUUUUUCCCAAAAAAAAUAAAACAGAGACACAGAGAGAGAGAGAAGGUGGUGUUCUGAUGUUCUGACAUGAUGAAACUGACUUAGUUAAUAUAUUUUUAGAGGUCACAAGAAAGUUUGUCUGGUCUUUUUGUUCUACACUUCUUGGUUGGCAUAUGGGAGAGGAUGUUGGAAAAUCAAAGCAUUUUUGUGACUCGGAUGUGUCUAUCACUUACCAAUACAGUAUUUUUAUUUACUUUCGUGACUUGGUUUAUCACUAAACAUGAAGAGGUAAAGAAAAUACUUUCUCCUGUUAUGUUGAUUUUCAGAGACACAGAUUUUAGUAUAGAUAACUUUGCCAUGGGCAGUGACUGAGAUCGGGGUUUAUUCCAUUAAACAACACUUGAUCCAGAAUUUUUAACUGUAUUUGGCAAGUAUGUGAUUUCCUAUGACAGAAUAUAGAGAUGAAAUAUUAAUGUGGACUCUCAUGUAUUUUGGUUGCAGCAAGGGCAUAGGUUAGAUUCACUUAAUGACGCAUUUUGGUUAACGACUUUCUUUGAGUCUGCAUGUUCUAUUGCUGCCCAAAUGUUAGCAAAUUGGCUGCGUGGCUAUGAUGCGGAGAGAAACAUUGCUUUUCCUUCCAUGAGGGAUAUCUUCUUAGCAAUAAUAUCAAUUGCUUUUCUCUCUAGAGGAUGGACAGAAAUCCCACAAAGAGCAUCUUUUAAGGAGUGCAGUAUGUCCUUCUAUGCAUAUAUAAUUGGUGGCCAUCAUCGUGGGAAGUAAGGAGCGACAAGAUGGAGCCACCGGUGACACCCGUACAGGAGGGAGGAAAAUACAUUUCAGAACCAAUGAAGCUCAACUUUUAGGCAGUGCAGAACUAGACAGGCUUGUGGUAAGUAAGGGCCUGCUGAUAACUGAUUGACACUUCAAAUUCAAUGUCUGUUUCAUCCCUUUGAUCUUUAGGAGAAUAUCACCAAAGGACCACUGGAGCUAUUUUAUAUCAAAGAAGAGCUUUAAGAUUAUAAUUUUUCACUGCACCCCCUUAGUCCCUAGCUGCAAUAAGUUUUUAUGGGAAAUGACCGAAUUAUCCCUAAAAUUUAAAGUAACAAGUGUUCAUCCUACAUAAGCAACAAAUCAUUUGAGUUUUGAUAAUAAUUAAUUCAUAAUUAACAAUACAUUUGAAAUUUAACAAAAUUGAAAAAACAACAUGAGUUUAAUGAAACAAGUGUUCACCUUGCACAAAAAUAAUUCAUUUAGAUUUUGACAAUAACCAAUUCAUAAUUAACAACAACACAUUUAGAAUUCAACAAGAUUGAAAAACUAACAAAACAUAGGUUUAAUAGAACAAGUGUUCAUCUUACAUAAACAAAUUGUUCAAAUUUUGACAACAAUAUAUUUGGAUUUUAAUAAGGUUGAAAAACUGAUAUCAUGAGUUUCAUAAAACAAGUCAUUUGGGUUUUGACAACAAUAAAUUCAUGCUUGAAAACACAUUUGGAUAUUAACCUCUUUCAUUAAAAAGGAAAAUUAAGUCAUUUCUUAUAAAAAAUUAUUUUUAGCUAAGGACCAAAAGGUGCAGUGAAAUAUUAAAAUCUUAAGGCCCUUCUUUGAUAUAAAAUAUUUUUAGUAGUCCUCAAGUGAUAUUUUCCCUAGAUCCUUUGUGCAUAAGACCAUGGUCCACUGGAGCAUGUGGGCCAUCAGUAGGUAUGCAGGAGUAGAGGCUUCAUCGUUGUAGCUUGUUUCCUUUUGCUGCAUGUUGCUGUUUGGACUUGUGCUUAUGGAGAUCUAGCCGACCAAGUAAAGCAUUUGAAGCCGCAAUUACUGUUAUGAAGCUCUUGGCUAAAAAAAAUUUAAGCAGCCAGCCAUGAGUUUUUUAUUAACUGAAGCCACAAUUUAGUUCGUGGUUCUACUUGAACUUCUCCCACCAAAAUUUUGGCUAGUUGGCGGUUGGUUUGAAAACUUGGGAAAUUGUUUUUCCACCGUGAUAUACAUAUAGUGACAAAUAAAUAGAAUAUUUUAAGCAUUAGUGGGACUUCAGGUUGUCAUGGGCUUCUGUUUGAUGCAGAGGCAUCGUCUUGAUUAUAUUUAGCAUUAGAUAGACUGCAUUAUUUGCCCCCAAAAAAAAAAACGUUGUAGAUUGCAUUAUUGAGGAAACCCGUUAUUGUACAUAGAUGUUUCAGUGUAUAUAUUUUGGAGAUCUCGCAAGAAUUCGAAAACUAUAAAGCUUUUCACAAGCUGUUGUAAAA